rnacentral:rRNA from 1 species
AACGAACGCUGGCGGCAUGCCUAACACAUGCAAGUCGAACGAGACCUUCGGGUCUAGUGGCGCACGGGUGCGUAACGCGUGGGAAUCUGCCCUUGGGUUCGGAAUAACAGCGAGAAAUUGCUGCUAAUACCGGAUGAUGACGUAAGUCCAAAGAUUUAUCGCCCAAGGAUGAGCCCGCGUAGGAUUAGCUAGUUGGUGAGGUAAAGGCUCACCAAGGCGACGAUCCUUAGCUGGUCUGAGAGGAUGAUCAGCCACACUGGGACUGAGACACCGGCCAGACUCC